GACGAACGCUGGCGGCGUGCUUAACACAUGCAAGUCGAACGAUGAACCCGGAGCUUGCUCCGGCGGAUUAGUGGCGAACGGGUGAAUAACACGUGAGUAACCUGCCCUUGACUCUGGGAUAACUGCGGGAAACUGUAGCUAAUACCGGAUACGACCCUCGGCGGCAUCGCCAGGGGGUGGAAAGAAUUUCGGUCAAGGAUGGACUCGCGGCCUAUCAGCUAGUUGGUGAGGUAACGGCUCACCAAGGCGACGACGGGUAGCCGGCCUGAGAGGGUGACCGGCCACACUGGGAGUGAGACACGGCCCAGACUCCUACGGGAGGCAGCAGUGGGGAAUAUUGCACAAUGGGCGCAAGCCUGAUGCAGCAACGCCGCGUGAGGGAUGACGGCCUUCGGGUUGUAAACCUCUUUUAGUAGGGAAGAAGCGAAAGUGACGGUACCUGCAGAAAAAGCACCGGCUAACUACGUGCCAGCCGCCGCCGUAA
rnacentral:rRNA from 1 species